rnacentral:rRNA from 1 species
GCAUAUCAAUAAGCGGAGGAAAAGAAACCAACAGGGAUUGCCCCAGUAACGGCGAAGUGAAGCGGCAACAGCUCAAAUUUGAAAUCUGGCUUCGGUCCGAGUUUGUAAUUUGCAGAGGAUGUUUAUGGUGCGGUACCUUCCGAGUUCCCUGGAACGGGACGCCACAGAGGGUGAGAGCCCCGUCUGGUUGGAUGCCAAACCUGUGUUAAACUCCUUCAACGAGUCGAGUAGUUUGGGAAUGCUGCUCUAAAUGGGAGGUAAAUCUCUUCUAAAGCUAAAUACCGGCCAGAGACCGAUAGCGCACAAGUAGAGUGAUCGAAAGAUGAAAAGCACCUUGAAAAGGGGGUUAAACAGUACGUGAAAUUGUUAAAAGGGAAGCGUUUAUGACCAGACUUGUGUCGUGUGGCUCAUCCGAGGUUCUCCCCGGUGCACUCCACACGGCUCAGGCCAACAUCGGUUCUCGUUGGGGGAUAAGAACAGUAGGAACGUGGCCCCUCUCGGGGGGUGUUAUAGCCUACUGUACGAUACCUUGAUGGGGACCGAGGACCGCGCUUCGGCUAGGAUGUUGGCGUAAUGGUCAUUAGCGACCCGUCUUGAAACACGGACCAAGGAGUCGUCCAUUAGAGCGAGCGUUUGGGUGUAAAACCCGCACGCGUAAUGAAAGUGAAAUUAGGUGAGAGCUUCGGCGCAUCAUCGACCGAUCCUGAAGUUUACGGAUGGAUUUGAGUAAGAGUUUUAACGGACGGACCCGAAAGACAGUGAACUAUGCUUGAAUAGGGUGAAGCCAGAGGAAACUCUGGUGGAAGGCUCGCAGCGGUUCUGACGUGCAAAUCGAUUCGUUCAAAUUUGGAGCAAUGGGGGCGAAAAGACUAAUCGAACUGUCUAGUAGCUGGGUUACCGCCGA